AGGUGUGUCUUAGGUAAUAGUCAGACACCUCCUAGUGGUGAAGAUAGAUGGGGUGUGUGUAGAGAUUAGUAGACCCUCAGUACAAAAACAGCCUUGGUUAUUUCUGGCCGCUCUGCUUUCUGCCUCCGAGCAAGUGAACAAUGGCCUCACACUCAGCGACCUUCCUUUGCACAUGCUGAACAACAUCUUGUACCGCUUCUCAGAUGGGUGGGACAUCAUAACUCUCGGCCAAGUGACCCCCACGCUGUAUAUGCUCAGUGAAGACAGACAGCUGUGGAAGAAACUGUGUCAGUACCAUUUUGCUGAAAAGCAGGCUCAGUAACUAACAGUAA